rnacentral:rRNA from 1 species
AAGUCGAGCGAACAGACGAGGAGCUUGCUCCUCUGACGUUAGCGGCGGACGGGUGAGUAACACGUGGAUAACCUACCUAUAAGACUGGGAUAACUUCGGGAAACCGGAGCUAAUGCCGGAUAAUAUAUUGAACCGCAUGGUUCAAUAGUGAAAGACGGUUUUGCUGUCACUUAUAGAUGGAUCCGCGCCGCAUUAGCUAGUUGGUAAGGUAACGGCUUACCAAGGCAACGAUGCGUAGCCGACCUGAGAGGGUGAUCGGCCACACUGGAACUGAGACACGGUCCAGACUCCUACGGGAGGCAGCAGUAGGGAAUCUUCCGCAAUGGGCGAAAGCCUGACGGAGCAACGCCGCGUGAGUGAUGAAGGUCUUCGGAUCGUAAAACUCUGUUAUUAGGGAAGAACAAAUGUGUAAGUAACUAUGCACGUCUUGACGGUACCUAAUCAGAAAGCCACGGCUAACUACGUGCCAGCAGCCGCGGUAAUACGUAGGUGGCAAGCGUUAUCCGGAAUUAUUGGGCGUAAAGCGCGCGUAGGCGGUUUUUUAAGUCUGAUGUGAAAGCCCACGGCUCAACCGUGGAGGGUCAUUGGAAACUGGAAAACUUGAGUGCAGAAGAGGAAAGUGGAAUUCCAUGUGUAGCGGUGAAAUGCGCAGAGAUAUGGAGGAACACCAGUGGCGAAGGCGACUUUCUGGUCUGUAA